rnacentral:rRNA from 1 species
GACGAACGCUGGCGGCGUGCUUAACACAUGCAAGUCGAACGAUGACGACCGAACUUUCUCGGUCUGAUUAGUGGCGAACGGGUGAGUAACACGUGUGCAACCUGCCCUUCACUCUGGGAUAACCUCGGGAAAUCGGGGCUAAUACCGGAUAUGAUCUCCUGUCGCAUGGCGGGUGUUGGAAAGUUUUUCGGUGAAGGAUGGGCUCGCGGCCUAUCAGUUUGUUGGUGAGGUAGUGGCUCACCAAGGCGAUGACGGGUAGCCGGCCUGAGAGGGCGACCGGCCACACUGGGACUGCGACACGGCCCAGACUCCUACGGGAGGCAGCAGUGGGGAAUAUUGCACAAUGGGCGAAAGCCUGAUGCAGCGACGCCGCGUGAGGGAUGACGGCCUUCGGGUUGUAAACCUCUUUCAGCAGGGAAGAAGCGAAAGUGACGGUACCUGCAGAAGAAGCGCCGGCUAACUACGUG